UCAUGUAGGUUGGUCAUGCCUCUGGUAUGUACUGGUCUCACUGAUUCCUCCUUCCUGAUGAACCGUAAUGCCAUUAAUUUGGUGUUGCGGGGAAUUUGGACUGUUACUUUGAAAAAAUUAGAGUGUUUAAAGCAAGCUAACGCUUGAAUACAUUAGCAUGGAAUAAUGAAAUAGGACGUUCGAUCCUAUUUUGUUGGUUUCUAGGAUUGACGUAAUGAUUAAUAGGGAUAGUUGGGGG
rnacentral:rRNA from 1 species